AGUGAACGCUGGCGGUAGGCCUAACACAUGCAAGUCGAACGGCAGCACAGUAAGAGCUUGCUCUUACGGGUGGCGAGUGGCGGACGGGUGAGGAAUACAUCGGAAUCUACUUUUUCGUGGGGGAUAACGUAGGGAAACUUACGCUAAUACCGCAUACGACCUACGGGUGAAAGCAGGGGAUCUUCGGACCUUGCGCGAUUGAAUGAGCCGAUGUCGGAUUAGCUAGUUGGCGGGGUAAAGGCCCACCAAGGCGACGAUCCGUAGCUGGUCUGAGAGGAUGGACAGCCACCAGGGAAACUGGACACCGGACCGACCCCCAACGGGAGGAAGCGGGGGGAAAAUUGGGGAAUGGGGGGCAGGCCUGUCCCAGCCAACCCGGGGGGGGGAGAAAGGCCUUCGGGUUGUAAGGCCUUUUUGUUGGGAAAAAAAAGAGGCAGGUUAAACCCCCGGUGUUUGAACGGAACCAAAAAAAAAGGCCCCGCCAACCUUGUG
rnacentral:rRNA from 1 species